GGUAUUUAUCUUCGGAUAGAGAGACCGGCGCACGGGUGCGUAACGCGUAUGCAAUCUACCUUUUACAGAGGGAUAGCCCAGAGAAAUUUGGAUUAAUACCUCAUAGUAUUAUGAAAUGGCAUCAUUUUAUAAUUAAAGUCACAACGGUAAAAGAUGAGCAUGCGUCCCAUUAGCUAGUUGGUAAGGUAACGGCUUACCAAGGCUACGAUGGGUAGGGGUCCUGAGAGGGAGAUCCCCCACACUGGUACUGAGACACGGACCAGACUCCUACGGGAGGCAGCAGUGAGGAAUAUUGGACAAUGGGCGCAAGCCUGAUCCAGCCAUGCCGCGUGCAGGAUGACGGUCCUAUGGAUUGUAAACUGCUUUUAUACGAGAAGAAACACUCCAACGUGUUGGAGCUUGACGGUAUCGUAAGAAUAAGGAUCGGCUAACUCCGUGCCAGCAGCCGCGGUAAUACGGAGGAUCCAAGCGUUAUCCGGAAUCAUUGGGUUUAAAGGGUCCGUAGGCGGUUUAGUAAGUCAGUGGUGAAAGCCCAUCGCUCAACGGUGGAACGGCCAUUGAUACUGCUGAACUUGAAUUAUUAGGAAGUAACUAGAAUAUGUAGUGUAGCGGUGAAAUGCUUAGAGAUUACAUGGAAUACCAAUUGCGAAGGCAGGUUACUACUAAUGGAUUGACGCUGAUGGACGAAAGCGUGGGUAGCGAACAGGAUUGGAUACCC
rnacentral:rRNA from 1 species